rnacentral:lncRNA from 1 species
CCGCCGCCUCUCCUGCGGGCCGUCACGCGCAGCCGGCGCCCAGCCCGGAGGACCCCGAGCCUGGUCCCCGGGGUUCAGCCCGAGGGCGGAAGGGGGCGCAAGGGGCGCGCUGGGCCCCGAACCCGGAGAGCGGGGCUUCUGCUGUGCGCACCACCGGCCCCGAGGGGGCGCCCGAGCCCGCCCCGGAGCGCCUCGGGGUCAGGCCCGCCCGGCGCCGCCCCCUCAGCGCGACGCCGCUCGGCGGCCCUGGGUCCGCGGCCUGUCACAGUGAGUCCCGGGCGUCCUCCUCAGCCGGGCGAGGAGGGCCUCGGCCGCGGGCCCUCGGAGAAGCGUUUGUCCUCCGAGGCGAGCACGGAACCUUGGAGUCUCCGCCUCGUUCCCACGGGCUUUAUUCUUACGAAAUUCGCGUUUCAGGACCAGAAACACAUGUCCAGCCAGAAGGUCCCUGUGGGAUCCAUGGAGAAAGCGCUGCUUCUGCAGUGAGGACACAAGCUUCAUUCCUGUGGGACUGACCUGGGGAAGUUCCUGUGGCUCUGGGACAACUCAGUGUUUCAUCCAUAGUGAGUAAAAAGCUUCUUGUUUGCGGCCUUUAUGCUGAGGAGGGGGUUUGCCACAGCUUUCCCUCCUUAAAUAGUGAGCACAGAACCUUUCAUUUACUGACUGUGUUCAGGUGUCUUAUUCUUUACUCUGUUUUAUAAUAUUUUAGCAAAAUUUAUUUUACUAUAGUAUCCAUUCAUUGAGGUUUUUGGUGCGUCAAAAUCAUAGCAUACUGUACAAUUUCUUGUUUUUAUUAUAUUAAAUAUUGGGACCUUCCAGUCCCCUGAUCUGAGAACUGGACAGUGCCUAGCUGAGCCAUAUUGGAACCUGAGUGAAAGGGGAAAUGAAGGCCUACCUCAAAGAAAAGUACUGGACAGUAAAGUGGCAGGACAGAUUUUGUUGGAACUAUUACAGCAGGGGAGAAAAGAAGCAACAAUAGCUGGUCUCAGCUCUGAUUAACACUGAGGUGGCUAAAUGUGUUUAAAUGUUUUUAAAGAGGGAAAGAUACAGGGAACAGAAAAUUCCUAAGAGGGGUGUGGGAGAGUUCUGAGGGAAGCUGGUGAUGAGCUUAUGGAACAGGGUCAGAUAGCCAUGCAGUCCUCCUGAGAAAGGGACAUUCCCUGGUUUAGUAGU